AUCAUCUUCAACACCAACAUGUUCGCUGUAGCUCUGCUGCUGUUGGUUGCUGGUUUCUGUGUGAAGUGUGAACAGCUGACACAGCCAGCCUCUGUGACUGUUCAGCCAGGUCAACAUCUGACCAUCAGCUGUCAGGUCUCUUAUUCUAUCAGCACCUACUGGACAGUUUGGAUCAGACAGACUGUUGGGAAAGGACUGGAGUGGAUUGGUGGAUCUGGAAUUGGACAUAUCACACUGUACAAAGAUUCACUAAAUAACAAGUUCAGCAUCACUUUAGAUGGCUCCAGUAAAACGGUGACCUUAAAUGGACAGAAUAUGCAGCCUGAAGACUCUGCUGUGUGUUACUGCGCCAGAAAGACUGAUGGGCUGGGGCUGCUGACGGUGGCUGAACGGUUGGGUAGGCUUGGCGGUGUGCUGCUCUGCUGGCUGUUGUGUCUGGGGGGGGGGACUGUUGCGUGUGGGCUGCAGAAGAAGAGAAACUCCCAACAGAUCACCAUCAGCACCAACAUGAUCUCUGCUGCUGCUGCUGCUGCUGGAUCCUAUGUGAACUGUGAACAGCUGACACAGCCAGCCUCUGUGACUCUGCAGUCAGGUCAACGUCUCACCAUCAGAUGUCAGGCCUUCUUAUGA